rnacentral:rRNA from 1 species
AUUGCCUCAGUAACGGCGAGUGAAGCGGCAACAGCUCAAAUUUGAAAUCUGGCCCUAGGCCCGAGUUGUAAUUUGCAGAGGAUGCUUUUGGCAAGGUGCCUUCCGAGUUUCCUGGAACGGGACGCCAUAGAGGGUGAGAGCCCCGUCUGGUCGGACACCGAGCCUCUGUAAAGCUCCUUCGACGAGUCGAGUAGUUUGGGAAUGCUGCUCAAAAUGGGAGGUAUAUGUCUUCUAAAGCUAAAUACCGGCCAGAGACCGAUAGCGCACAAGUAGAGUGAUCGAAAGAUGAAAAGCACUUUGAAAAGAGAGUUAAAUAGCACGUGAAAUUGUUGAAAGGGAAGCGUUUAUGACCAGACUUGGCCCGGUUGAUCAUCCAGCGUUCUCGCUGGUGCACUCUGCCGGUCCAGGCCAGCAUCAGUUCGUCGCGGGGGAUAAAGGUUUCGGGAAUGUGGCUCCUCCGGGAGUGUUAUAGCCCGUUGCGUAAUACCCUGCGGUGGACUGAGGUCCGCGCUUCUGCAAGGAUGCUGGCGUAAUGGUCAUCAACGACCCGUCUUGAAACACGGACCAAGGAGUCGUCUUCGUAUGCGAGUGUUCGGGUGUAAAACCCCUACGCGUAAUGAAAGUGAACGCAGGUGAGAGCUUCGGCGCAUCAUCGACCGAUCCUGAUGUUCUCGGAUGGAUUUGAGUAAGAGCAUACGGGGCCGGACCCGAAAGAAGGUGAACUAUGCCUGUAUAGGGUGAAGCCAGAGGAAACUCUGGUGGAGGCUCGCAGCGGUUCUGACGUGCAAAUCGAUCGUCAAAUAUGGGCAUGGGGGCGAAAGACUAAU